GCCGACCACGGUGCUGAGGAGGUCAGAGGUCAGGUCGAUGGCAUCUGAGGGGUGGCUGGCUGGCUGGCAGCAGCAAACUGCAUCUGCACGGUAAGUUUUGGCCUUUGUCUCCCUGAUGCUCCGCCCCGCCAUCGUCCCGAGCUGAUUGGCCGUGGGCCGGGCCGGGCCCAGCUUCGGACGACUCGAGCGUCCCCGGCGUCGCUGUCUGCAUGAUCUUCUGACGAACCUCGCGGAUCUUCAACUGCAGACACAACUUGGUGGGGAAUGUGUCCGGGUAGCGCGCCUGGAAGGAAGCCGUGGCCUGAGCUGCAGAGACGAGACAGAGAAGAGGAGGACAAUGGCAGAUGGUGGAUCUACCUGAAGGAAAGAAGCCGUGUUCCUGAAAAAGCUGCAUGACCAGCGCGCGACGUUGGUCCAGUGUCCUCCGCAGAGACGAGUACGGAACCCUGUCCGGGUCUCCCAGGGGGACGUCGGCUUCCG